CUCAAGAUAUUGUAGUUUGAAUACACCCAUAUCAAAGGCAAACCCAAAGUUGAAACCCCCCCACCUUUUUGGUGUUCUGCAUAUUAAAACCCCUUGAACGUAAGUACCCCAGAUCUGGGGUACUAAACUAGAAGAUGGGCAGUAGUAUCAGAAAGGUUUAACCAAUCCGCUAAAGCUAGAUGUUGUCUGAAAGCUGUGAAUCUCCUCUUUCCGGUCGUGUAUAAUACCUCUGUCCUAGGUCUUACUACCUUUUAUGGGCAUGCAGCAAUGUAUGACCCCCCCCCCCCCACGACACCAACACAAGAUGGCUGCUACCUAGUCUCAGCGUCGAAUUUUUAUGAAACUAGUCAAAGUAAUGAUUUACAUCGAAGCCAGACACUCCAUCGAGCAGAAUAACAUCUUAUAUGGCUGCCUGGGGGCUACUAUUAUCGAUCCAGACCUCUGAGAGUCAACAUCUUCAUUGGAAAAUCCGUUUUCAACAAAUACCAUACCUCUCACAAGAUGUCCUAGGUGGGGGAUAGCCACUCCAAGGAAACCUUCGCGCAAAAGGUACCAUUGUUAUUCUGCUCUGGAACGAGGCGCAUGGCGCACGCUACUCAGCUAUUGUAAACAAUUAGAUUCAGCGAUUAUACAAUAAUUAUGGCUUCGCAAGGAGUAAAGAGAAGCAAAAAACGAAGAAUAUUGAGCAGGGGGCUAAAGAAAACGAGUAAAUUGUCCGUCUUGGAGGCUUUGCAUGCUGUAGUCUCAUGGACUCUGACGUUAGCGGUUUGGACCUGGGCUAUCUGUUGAUGGAUUGGAUCCACUAGUAGAUCGAGAGAAAGAUCUGAAGAUGAGGACUGGCAGCCAUCCCUCCCCAGCAAGCGCCCCUGCUCCUCAAUGUCUCCACCCCCCACAGUUGUGUCUACCACCCCCACUCCAGGCCAGACAUUUCUUUUGGGGGAAAUUUUUUAGGGAAAUCUUUUGGGGAAUUUCUAUCUAUUGCUGUUUAUAAUAAGAUUGAUAGUUUUUAUACUUUCUGUAGUGUUGUUUUUAUAGUGAAUAUGUACUUUUAGGCACAUCCAAUGUGCAAAAACAGUGCCAUUUAUAAAUAGUUGUCAGUUAUUGGAUUUUGCACUACUUUAUAAAUGUUUGAUAACACAUUUAGUUUUUUGACCUUUUAUUCAUCACACUUUAUUGCUUUUAUAAUGGGAUUGAUUGUUUUUAUAUUACUUAUAAUGUGGUUUUUAUAGUGAAUAUUUACUUUUAGGCACAUCCAAUGUGCAAUAACAGUGCAAUUACCCUUUCGGGACACUUUGGAGAGGUUGAAAGGACACUUGAAUGUAUGGCACAUUAUAAUAAAAUAAUAGUUGUAAAAAAAAUUUAUAUAAAAUUUUUAUUAAUUUUUUUUUUUUUUGAUAUUUACAUUUUUGGCACAUCCAGUCUGCUGAAACAGAGCAAUUAUCACAUUAGGCCACUUUGGAGAGGUUUAGGGACACUUGGGAACGUCUAUUGACACCACACACUAAAACAGCUGCCCAGCUCAUACUCUUAUGUGUAUCAAGUUAAAAUUUUUUGGUGAUGAUGGUGACAUGUUUGGGAAGCCAUUUGUUGUGUUUUCAGGCUAGAACAGCCAUAAUUGAAUGAUUGCUUGUUUUUCAAAAAACCUAAUUAACAUAAAAAUGAGUAAAAACGGUUAGAAACUUUUGUGUUUCAUCUUCUGUAUUUAGAACUCCCUCAUUCCCUCAUAUAUUCUGAUUAUUUCCUCAUAAUCUCCCAGGUGUCUUGUUUCCAAAGAUACCAGGAUUGUGCAUGUCCUAACAACAUAAGUCCACAUGAAUAGCAGUUACUUUUGGGUAUGUCUAUUUAGGCGGAAAUUAGCAUUUCUGCAUUUACAUUCAACAGGUUAAGACCUGUGGAUUGAAAAUGGAUCCCUGUUAAAGUAUGCAAACUACUUUUUGGAUAAAAU
ensembl:lncRNA